CCUACGGGCGGCAGCAGUAGGGAAUCUUCCACAAUGGGCGAAAGCCUGAUGGAGCAACGCCGCGUGGGUGAAGAAGGUCUUCGGAUCGUAAAACCCUGUUGUUAGAGAAGAAAGUGCGUGAGAGUAACUGUUCACGUUUCGACGGUAUCUAACCAGAAAGCCACGGCUAACUACGUGCCAGCAGCCGCGGUAAUACGUAGGUGGCAAGCGUUAUCCGGAUUUAUUGGGCGUAAAGGGAACGCAGGCGGUCUUUUAAGUCUGAUGUGAAAGCCUUCGGCUUAACCGGAGUAGUGCAUUGGAAACUGGGAGACUUGAGUGCAGAAGAGGAGAGUGGAACUCCAUGUGUAGCGGUGAAAUGCGUAGAUAUAUGGAAGAACACCAGUGGCGAAAGCGGCUCUCUGGACUGUAACUGACGUUGAGGCUCGAAAGCGUGGGGAGCAAACAGGAUUAGAUACCCGUGUAGUC
rnacentral:rRNA from 1 species